CAGCCAAGGAAAACAAGCCAUCCAAUCACCCACUAGCACCCGCCCCACCAGCCACGACCGACCCGCAAACCCUAGCCGCCUCGACCUCCCCUCCGCCUCAGCAAUGGUCGGCGCCUUUGCGGCUCGACGGCGUUGCCGGAUACCCCUCCCGCGCGCUGGCCUGUGCUGCACCGCACAACCGGAAGCCCGGCGGCCGGCAGGACCAUGCAGGGGCAUGUCGUGGGUCGCCCCGGCCGGCAGAAGCUCACCCCCGCAUCCUUGCUCUGCAGCAAAUCUCGGUCUCGUCCACACUCGCGGUUACCCCCAUCAAAGGAUGAACUUUUCGAUGUGGUAGCUCAUCUUUCCCCAACCCCUUUUUGUUUCCCCCCUGCGAUUUAGGCUGCUCCGGCUGGUGGAUCCCCUGGUUAUUCUCAUCGGACAAAUUGCUUCUCCAUGUGGAUCGUUGCAGACUUUUAUUUUCAAAAUUGCUUCUUUUAUUUGUUUAUGGGAUGUCGUUUGCUUGCUCUACUAUUCGUUGUUGUACAAGGGUUGCAAUUUUGUUUUUCGCAGGUUGCUCUAACGGGGUUCUCCCCGUCGCUGCGAUUGCUGUCAGGUGUGACUCUCCAUGAAUGCACCGGCAGCAUCCUUGGGCCAGCCUCUGGUCAAGAGGAGAGAUCCAGAUGAGCAUAUGUUAAGGCACCUUCUUUCACCAAAGGAGUGCCUCUUUAUUUCUGUCCGCUUUCUUCUUUAUGAAAUUCUUACUGAGUUUUUGCGGUUGCCACUGCACUAUCAUGAUGUACAAGUACAGACACUUAUUUUGGGACGGAGGGAGAAUAUAUGUAAGUGAACUUGGUCAUAGAUUGCCACCAAGCGACUGCAUUAGCAUAUGCUUUCCGAGAUGCGUCAUAUAGUCUAAAUUUUAUAAAGAAAGCCAUGCAAUAUUAUGCUUGAGUUCAUGUGUGUGCACACUCAGUUAGUUCUAUAUCAUCUCUUUGAUAUGAAUCAUUGCCAGAUAAAUUCUUUUGUGGCAUGAAGUAUUAUCAAGUCCUGGAAACAGCCUCUUGCAGAAAUGUAGGGAAAGGCUGCGUACAAUAGACCCAAAGUGGUCGGACCCUUCCCCAGACCCUGCGCAAGCGGGAGCUACAUGCACUGGGGCUGCCCAUGAAGUAUUAUCAAUAUUAACUACUUAGGGCGUCCAAUUGCCAUCUUUGCUUAGGUCUCGGCUCUGGGCUUCUGUUUUUAUGUACCAUAUGAUCAUUGUUAGGAUGCAACUGUGCUGGCAUAUGCUUGCUGAGUUACAUAUGAUUUCUUUUUUAGACAUGGUCACAUGGUCUGGAUUUCAUGAAGAAAUUCGUGGAAUAUUUUGCUUGGGUUCAUGUUGAUGUGAAUCAAGUUGAAAACUGUGUGCAAGCAUAACCGUAUAUACUAGUGUAUAGUUAGCUUUACAUGGAUACAUGUUCCUCAUGAUUGAUGCAGUGUCAACCUAAUGUAACAUCUUCUAUGUGUGCAGGCACAACAGGCUAACGAGAGGCAGUUGAUAGAUCACUAUGGAUCAAAGCAUCCCAGGGAGAAACCUCCAGGUCCAUCAAAUGCAGACUGACUGAUGCGAAGUGGAAGCGUGAGCUGUAGUUGACUGUUUCUGAGGGUGUUCAAUCUGCUCCAUACUUGGAUGACUCAGCUUCAGCUUUUCCCAUUGUAAUAGCCACCUCCCAUGCUGCGGGCAAGGGUCUGUAUGCAUUAGUGGUUUAGUAUGGUGUUCUAAAGAAGACCGCCCCACUUUGUGGCCACUGCAGCUGUUACUAGUGAGGCCACCCAUCAGUGUCACUAAAUGCUGCGGCAAUAUCCUCUUCUUUUCUUCACUUCGGGGAUGGCCGCAGUUCUACCCCUGACGCCGCUGCACGUAAGCGGGAUGUAAUUGUCUCGUUGACUCUGCACUGAAAUUUGGAGGCCAAGGCAAUCAACAAACGAUGUAUCUAACUACAGGCACUCGAUUUCAGAUGGAGGAUGACAGUUGGUUUGGCUGAUGUGUCUCCAAGGUGGCUUGGGGAAUUGAAGACUUGCAAGUUAUGUAUAUCGGUUGAUGGAUUUGGAUUAGAAACUUGAGAUGGUUUGUUGCAGGAGUUAAUUAGAAGAAAACACUGUAACAGGAAGUUGCUGAGUGACUUUAGCAAAUUUUUUUCAUGGCUUGGUUAGUUGUAAAGAGUAUUUUGUAAGUAUUGUAGAAAGCAAGAUUUUCAUGGUUCUGUAAGGACUGUUGUAGUGGCAGUAUUUGUGUUGUAAGAAAUUUAUUGUAACAGGCAUGCUAAAGAUUUGGAUGGAAUGUGGACUCGAUCGGUACUAUUUUUUCUACA